rnacentral:lncRNA from 10 species
AAUUACAAAGCAUUUAGUCAUUUAAUAAAAAUGUAUAUGGGCUUAUAUAAAUAUUGUGGUUUUUAGUGCUUUAGAGAGCAUGUGAACUCAAUCUGGGGUCACUCCCAAGCCUGGAAGAGAAUGAGAAGGAGGCAGUAGAAUAUCAUUAUAAUCAUACUACUUGUCCCAGGGGAUCCAUGUAUUCUACUGAAGAGUGGGAGUAGUUCAAAAUGGAGAAAUGAGGAAACCAUGACAAAGAGUCUGGAUAAUCAUUAGAACUGAUUAAAGUCAGGCUGCCCUAGAUUGAAAAGUGUGUGCCUCUGCUCACAGUGGAUCUGAAGUGGAUAUUGGAAGUACAUGCCCUCCUUGGAUGCUGAAUAGCUUUCUCAGGCCAUUCACAUGAAAACAGCUUGGAGAUGAAGAAAUAAGAAUGGAAGCAUAAUCAUUUGUCCGAGGUCACAGAGGGAGAUGAUUACACAGCUGGAAUAAACUCUCCUCCUUCAAUACCUGACUACUUGCACCAUCCAGCAGAUAUCCUCUACUACCAAGUCUCAACAGAUGGUUCAGCUGGUCUUUAAUGAACAAAAGGCAUUUGUGUAAUGGACUCUUAUUGCUCAAGAAGAAUUUCUUCCUUCCUGAAACAUGAGGAGAAACUGACAAAAACUGUCUCCUUGACCAAACCCUAGUCAGUUGCCUAUAAGCCCUGUAGGCUGUGACCUUAGUGUCUAUCCUUAUCAGACACGCAUUACACAACCAUAGCAACAGUCUUGCUAAGUUGGUUUAACCAGAACCCCUACCCUUGAUAUCUGAUUUAAUUUAUAAUUCCCCUGAGUCCCCGAGGUGACAUCCAUUCAUCCUGGCCAGCUUUCAAUAAGAAUCCUAUUGGAUUAUUUAGCUAGAAAUCACCCCUUACACUUAAUGCUUCCUUUUAGUAAUUUUGCAUCCACUAACCCCGACCUUGCUCGUUGGCUAUAAAUCCACAAGUUGUCCGUGUUGUGUUUGGAAUUGAUUACAAUUCUAUAUUGAGGUCUCUUUUCCCAUAUUGCAAUAGUUCCUGAUUAAAAUCUGCUUUUGCCCAUUGAUAUGGUUUGGUUGUGUACCCACUCAAAUCUCAUCUUGAAUUGUAGCUCCCAUGAUUCCCAUAAUUGAAUCAUGGCAGCAGUUUACCCCAUACUGUUCUUGUGGUAGUGAAUAAGUCUCAUGAGAUCUGAUGGUUUUAUAAGGGGUUUCCACUUUCACUUGAUUCUGACUCUCUUUUGUUUGCCGCUAUGUAAGACAUGCCUUUCACCUUCUGCCAUAAUUGUGAAGCCUCCCCAGCCACAUGGAACUGUGAGUCCGUUAAACCUCAUUUUCUUUAUAUAUAAAUUACCCAGUCUCAGGUAUGUCUUUAUCAGCAGCAUGAAAAUGGACUAAUACACUCCUUUAACUGUGUAGCUCUGGUGUUCUUUGAUGAGCUAGAAACUGUAAAUCUCUGGAAGUCAAAUCUUCAUUUGAACUGGUUGUUAUAUAUUAUUGAUUCUCUCAAUUAUUUAGUUAAAUAAAAGUCUUGACAUGUUAAAUUUGUAUUUGCAGUUGUGAUUUUUAUCCUCUUCUAAAAUGUAUCCUGUUACAGUCCCACUAAUAUAGCCCCCAUUGAACCUCACAUGUUAUUUGAAGUCACUUUCCUGACACAGUAGGGAUGAUGAUUUUUGCCAGGGAUCUGUAGUUUUUGGGAUGCUGCAUGAUUGU